rnacentral:rRNA from 1 species
GAUAAACGCUGGCGGCGUGCCUUAUGCAUGCAAGUCGAACGUGAAGCCCGCUUCGGCGGGUGGAAAGUGGCGAACGGGUGAGUAACACGUAGGAACCUGCCCGGAAGUGGGGGAUAACUCCGCGAAAGCGGGGCUAAUACCGCAUGUGGUCGAAAGACUAAAGCUUCGGUGCUUCCGGAGGGGCCUGCGGCGGAUUAGCUAGUUGGUGGGGUAAUGGCCUACCAAGGCGACGAUCCGUAGCUGGUCNGAGAGGAUGGUCAGCCACACUGGAACUGAGACACGGUCCAGACUCCUACGGGAGGCAGCAGUAGGGAAUCUUGCUCAAUGGGCGAAAGCCUGAAGCAGCGACGCCGCGUGCGGGAUGAAGGCCUUCGGUUGUAACCGU